CCUCGGUGCGUUCCCGGUGCUGGCCGCCGCCGCGCUCGCUCCCCGCGCUGGCUUCAGGAGCGACCCGGCCGGUAAUUCUGCAUAUUUGCGGACAUCAGCCCCAAGAAGAACUCCGGAGGGAGUCUGGGGCCGCCGCCGCCGCCGCCGCCACACCGAUCACCUGCCUGGACGCCUGGCCCGGCCCCGGCUGCGAGCUGCGAGCCGCCCUGCGCGCCCACCGCCGGCCCCGCGCUCGCCUCCGGCCUCCUCUUGCAGCCGCCGCCCGGCCGGGCACAGCGCGGCCCAGCACCCCCUCCGCGGCGCGCCCUCGGCUCCGGCGCCGCGCUCCGCCCUCCGCUCGCCGGGGCCGGGCAGCGCCCGCGGCCGAGCCGCCUGGCAGCCACCACCCGCCGCCCGGGGCCUCGCUGCGCCGCCCGCGCGGGCCUGAGGGCGGGCGCAAGGCCGAGUCGGCGCCUCCGCCGCAGCCGCCGCCGGGAGAGGAGGAGGAGGAGUAGGCGCAGGCCCGGCUCGCCGGAGUUGGGCGGGCUCCGCAGGGCGCGCGUGUGGAGCCGGCCGGCGGCGGGGAGAGGGUUAUAGCGCCGCCGCCGCGCCCCUCCCCCGCCCCCGCCCCCGCCCCCCCCCCCCGCCUCCCCCGGAUUCCGGGCCUGGGACCCGCACCUCGGAAGCGCUCGGGGUUCGUGCGGACCCGGCAGGGCCCGGGCGCCGCCGCCGCGGCAGGGAGCACACACGCGCUCGCGCAAGCAGCUAAAUCCAUCAAAGCCCCGCGCCCGGCUCCGCGCCGGGGCUCCGCGCCCCUCCCUCGAGCUUGCCCACCCUCCAGUGCCAGCUGCAAUCCUGCGGCACCGGGUGGGGAGGGAGGAGGCCGCCGCAGAAGCGCCGCCGUCGCCGGCUCGCCUCUCUCGGGCCCCAGCGGCGGCAGCGGGCAGCGCCCAGAGCUGCUGCGCCAAAAAGGGCCAGAGAGCCGGUCCCCGCCCCCGCCCCGGCGCUCCGGCCGCUCUCCACGGUUCGGAUCCAGGGCCCCAGCCUUCCUCUCUCCAUAAAAGGAGGGGGAGUCAGUCUUUGGGGAAGGAGGGGGGCGGGUUUGGGGCACUCACCUGGCGGCUGCCACGCGCCCCCGCCCAGGAUCCGAGGCCUGGGGCAUCUGAAUGAGGACCCUCCACCCACAUUUCCACUUGGGAGCGAGCUCCAGUCGGGGAAAGGGCCUGCAGCCCGCCUCGUCCCCACCCUGGGACCCCGCGCCCCCCAGUCCCCCACUCCCGCGCCGAAGGCAGGGCCGCGCCCUGAGCCGGGAAGUCGAGGGGAUGGAAGGGAAAGGAGCCACCGGUGAGGGUCCCCCGGGUUCUGAGCCUCCCGCGUCGGGAUCCGUGGGGCGCACAGAGCGCCACCUCCGGCCGAGGCGCAGCUCAGAGCGCGAUGCGGGGGAGGAACGCGCGCGGAGGCCGAGGUCUGAGCGUGGCUAGACGGCUCCCACGCCGAGAAAGGGCGGGUGCGCCUGGGCUGGAUGGAUUUCGCCUCCCUAGACCAGGAGGGAUUGGACCCUGACUACAGGUCCAGGUGCUCGUCAGUGCCCUGCCAGGGGGUCUACGCGUCCUGGUACCGGGUCCAGCGGGGUGGCGUGCUGUGCAGACCCCGAGGCUAGACGGCCUAGGCCCCUGGAGCCCAGGAGACGCUUCCUUGGGUGAGCAGCGGAGAAUCCCGCCCGGCCCAGCCGUCACCCCCAACCCUGUCGAUUAAACCCCUGCCCCCGUCGCGGUCGCCCUCCCUCCAGACAAAGGCCGUUAAGGCGCAGCCCCGCGGGCGGUCUUUCAUCCCCAGCUAGGCCAGCUCUAGCAUUUCAAAGGCCGAAUCCGGAGAGCGCUUCGGGGGCUCUCCCCUUCCCCCAAAUAUUUGGGGAGCGACGCCUCUCCCUCCGCUCCCAGUGGGUCGCGUCUACACGCGCCCUUCCACACACCUGCAGGCCCCCUCCCCACGUCUCUCCCUUCCGUUGGCCGCAGCCCCACACCACGACCCCCGCGGUCAAGCAUGCCCUCUGGGUGGUCAGGACCAAGCGGGACCGGGACAGAACCAGGGGAGCCUUGGAAACGUGGAGGAGCCCCUUAAAGCCAGGCCUUGUCCCUCCAGGGGGAACUUGCGGCUUGGGAGGGGACACCCACUGCAUGGCUUCUGGAAAGAGCCGGACUCGCAGGGCCAGGACGCAGGCCGGACCCCGGCCUCAUUCUUCGGCCAGUUAUCCCGGAGUGGCGCGCAUCCUGUCUUCCUGGGCCUCGGACUGCUCGCGCGCAGAGGGGGCCCGAGGACACCUCUGUGGGGUUAGAGGACUCGGUAAGACGGUGUGGAAGGCAAGGAGGAAGGUCGCGUUGUAUUGGGGAUGGGGUACCCGUCCCUCCCAGCUUGAGGGAUCCUGGGGGUCCUCGCCGCCUCUGAGGGCCUAGAUGGCUGCUUCCCUCGGCUCCCCUGCCCGGCCUGGAGCUACGGGUGCGCCCAGCUAGAGUUUAGGGCCACCUGGGGACGUGCAAGGGGCGCUGGAGCGAGGCGGGGGCUGGGGCGGGGCGUGGGUGCUUCACCCGCGGGGGACGCAGAGCUUAGGCGAAAGCGGUGCAGGCAUCUCUCUAAUCGCCGGCCGCUAUUAAAAAUAAAACCGCGACCCGUCGCCAUGGCGACCACAACAACAGCGGCCGCGCGAGGGAGGCGAAAACUUGUGCAGCCGCGCGACAGCCGCCUUCUGGGGAGACUCGGGGCACGACGCACCCGGCGUGGGACUGGGACCCCCCUGCCCGGCCCCGCCACAUUCUCCGCCGGAUCCCCGGAAGACACAAGGAGACGUGGACCCCCACAGGCUUUUUUGGGGGGAUUGGGCGUUGAAACCGCAGGGCUGACUUAACCAAGAGGUCACCGACUUGGAUAAAAAACCCACGCCCGCGCGGACCCCCCUCCCCGGCCUUCGUUUCCAUUCAAACUCCCAGCGUCCUCAUUGCAGCCCCUGGGGAGGGGGACGGAGGGACGAGGUGGGUUUCAGGUGCUCGGCCCAGGAGGGGACGGUGCGACCCGGGCCCCGCCGGCGGGUUUUGCGCGCGGAGGCUGCGGCACCUGCCCCGCCCGCCCUGCCGCGAUCCUUGCAGACGGGGGCGGUCACAUGCUUCUUUCUGGCCAGGAAUCGAGUUUCACUUCCAGCCGCUAUUAGUCGGUUCACACAGUUCACUGCAAACAUUUGAUAAUGAGGCUAAAUAUACUCCCGCGUCGGAGGAGGCGUGGGCGUCCCCGCCCAGGCCCGGGAGACAGAGGCGCUGACCCCGGGACAGAGCCUGGCUUUGUGCGGGAGGCAGACGCGCCCCGCGCGCCGCCCCCGAAACAUUCGCACCCCAUGCUGAGGCGCGCGUCUGGGAGUCCGUGGGCGCCCCGAGGUGAGCCCGGGGCCCCUGGCGGAAGCAGCGGGGAGCUCCCGGCGGGUGCGGGGAGGUGCUGGUGGGAAGCAAGGUGCACCUGGCGGCCUGGGAUGUCCGGUCGCCCCCGGAGCCGGUGCAUCCGGCCUCUCCCGGCGCGCCCCGACGUGCCCGCGGGCUCAUAAUUACCGUGAGUCAGGUGCCCCAAAUAGGCCGAGCGAGGGGGGCCGUCGCGCAGCAGGGGCGGGUGGCCGGACGUCUGCCCGGGACUGGUUGCCUCCCGCCCCUCCCCAAGACCCUGGCACCCAGGGAGGGCGGGAAAGGCCUUGGCCAUUCCUCUGGGUAGGGGACUGGAGAGGGGAAGAAACUUUCGCCGAGUCCAGCGCUGCCCCCUCAUACCCAUCCCCACCCAGGCUGCGUGUCCGGGGCCCCUCCGGGGCUUGGCACCAGCAGGCACGCAGCGAUCGCCGUCGUUGUUAUUUAGUAGUAGUAGUAACGGCUGACAUUUACAGCGACGUCGAUGGCGCCAGGUGCCAAGCUCUUUCCUUGUAUAAUUUCAUGGACACUCACGCAUCAACUCUAAGCGAAGACUUGGAGCGGGGCUCAGCACCCCAGGGGUACCUCUGCAACCUCGGUAAAUAUAGACUAUCCUCAAUUCGCAGGGGCAUUUGUACGUGGGGUGUACAGGCAGGAACAGGAAAGACGCUGUGGCCACCCAGGAGUAGGGGCGGCAGCCAACACCCCCUGGAUCCCCAGUUCCAAGGUGCAGGGAGGGGGGCAGAGGCCAGUUCCCUCCGCUCUCUGCCCCUUGACCUUGGCCUUGGUGAGCUCUGUCCCUAGACUGCCCUGGGUGUCUGUUCCCUCAUCUGAAAAGCGUGAGGCCCACAGCCGUCACUGCACACAGCUGCCGUCACUGCACACAGCUGCCUCCACUGUCGGGAAGCCUCCCUCCUGCCCACCUGCCCAGGAAAAGCUGCGCUAGCGUGCCCUGGGCAAGCGCCCUGCUGGCCACCUGCCUGCACCUGGGUUGGGGGUGGGGGGACCAGCUGAGCACCCAAAUCCUGGCCUCUGCCCCCAGCGCCAGAGCAGAUUUCAGAACAAUUUGUAAUGACGAAACCCCACGUUUCCCUUUAUCUCUGGGCAAGGCUUUCUUCGUCCUAGGCAAUUAAUCCAAAAGCAACACCAGCCGAGUGGGCUGGACUCCUUGAAGAUCAAAACUGCCCAGCGCAGGCAUUAAUUAAGUCAUUAUCUCAGGCCCCCAGCGACUAGGGAUCAGGCCUUUCCAGUUCACACUCUCCAGAAAGGGAGAUAACUGCCCCGCCAGCAGGGUGGGAAGGCUCUCUCUCCAUGUUGUUUUAACUCCCUAUUAAAUCAUUUUAUUUUAAAUACACAAACAGAAAUGAAGUUGAAAAUAGCACAGGAGCCCACUAUCACUGUGUGAACAUUUUGUGAAUGAAGACAUGUAUGAAAGGAUGUUUGGAGGCUUCAAGAAACGAAAGCCGAGAGUCUAGCUAGACCAGAGCCAUCCAGCCCAGGAGCGAUGGCCACGUGUGGCCGCUGGACACGAGAGACGUGGCCAGUCCAAACUGUGCAGUGCGGUAAAGUGGAAGCCGUUGGAGGGCCUCAGGCAGGAACACAAGGUGUCGUGGCAGAAAGGAAGAAGGGGCCGGGCACGGUGGCCCACACCCGUCAUCCCAGCACUUUGGGAGGGAGGCCAAGGCAGGAGGAUCGCUUCAAUCCAGGAGUUCAAGAUCAGCCUGGGCAACACAGCAAGACCCCGUCUCUACUAAAACCCUAAAACUUAGCCAGGCUUGGUGGCAUGUGCCUAAGGUCCCAGGUCCUCGGGAGACUAAGGCAGGAGGAUUGCUUAAGCCCAAGAGUUUGAGGCUGCAGUGAACUAUUAUCACACCACUGCACUCAGCCUGGGUGACAGAGUGACUCUGUCUCAAAACUAAAUAAAUAAACAAUAAUUGUGUUAUUCUGUCUCCAUUUCUCGCAUACUGAAUUUAAGGUGGACUCAGCCAGCGGGUUCAGGCCCAGGGUCUGUCCUGCAGCUACAGUCAGGGUUGGUGGCUGCAGCUGUCAUGGGGGAGCGGUGAGGUUGGGGGAACAGGGGGGCUGGCCUGCAUCCCCCACUUUCAGGUGGGCUCAACUCCGUCUCGUGGCCUAUUGGGGGCCAGCAUGGGCUUCCUUACAGCAUGGAGGCCUCCAGGGUCAAGCUGCCUCUGGGAUGGCAGAGGGCUUUGUGUUCGUGCUCCCACGCCCACAGUGGAGGCAAUACACCCUUUCCAGAUCUAGCAGUACAGGUGCGCAGCACCACACCUCUGUACGCUCUCAGCCUAAGCUGUCCCCAGCCCUCCUGGCCUCUGGAGGAGGGGACGCAGAAACUCCAUCCCGGACAGAGGGAGAGCCAGUGUGUGCACAGGCAGCUUCUAACACUGCUUCGUGGUUUCACACGGCUCCCUCAUGGAGAAGGGGCUGGAGGAGGACAGGGAGGUGUGCAGUCAUCUGGGUGACAUAUGAGGGUGGCUGGGCUUCCAGAUGGCUGCAGUGGAGACCGUAAGAAGAGUGCACGAGGUAAGGCUUCCGAAACGCCCAGCAGGUUCCUGGCAGCUGCAGACAACUCAAUUCUUAGCACUUGCCAAUAGCUGGGGUGUAAACACUCCCGCCGUCGCUAUUUCGGGCUAUGCUCCUUGCCUCCACUGGGUCUGGCUCUUAAAACAGCAAGAAAGCAACUCGGAAGCUGAGUCAGCCCCGUCUCUCCACCGUGCCCACAGAUCCUUCCCUGUUCCAGAGCUCCCGUUGGCAGCCAGCUGGGCUUCUCAGGGGGCAUCUCCAGUCCUGUGCAGUCAGAGAAAACCAGGGAAGCAUCUUGAUCUCACCUAGAAAUUAAGGCCAUCACAUCCAACACCUGCAUUUUACAGGUGAGGAGGCUGACAUUACAAGUAGUGGUGGUGGUGACAUUUGAACCCAGACCCCUGUCCUCCGGGGCCUGUUUCCCUGGGAGCUGCGGACUCUGCGUGGAGACACAGAAAUAGAGACCCAGAUGGCUCCCGUAGAAACAGAGUCACCCCCCAGGGCAGCUGGAAGGGAGUGGGAGAGGACAGGUCCUCAAGGGCCUCUGCUCUCCACUUCCCUCCCCGCCUCGCCGUGUCCUCUCCCUUCCUCUCUCCAACCCCUGCAGGGGGAGGCCUGGCUGGGAAGAGACGUUUUCUGAGUAGAUGUUUUGGCUGGGCAGACUGAGCUUUGAGAAGCAGCCAGGCCGAGCGGGGCUAGGGAGUGAGGGCAUUGGGGAGCCUGAACUUUAGUGACCACUGCCCCUCCCAGGCCAAAGCCGCAAACCCCUCCCAUCCCCAAGGGCUUCAGACUCAAGGCCCAAGUUCCUGCA
rnacentral:lncRNA from 1 species